rnacentral:rRNA from 1 species
ACGAACGCUGGCGGCGUGCUUAACACAUGCAAGUCGAACGGAAAGGCCCUGCUUUUGUGGGGUGCUCGAGUGGCGAACGGGUGAGUAACACGUGAGUAACCUGCCCUUGACUUUGGGAUAACUUCAGGAAACUGGGGCUAAUACCGGAAAGGAGCUCCUGCUGCAGGGGGGGGGUGGGAAAGUUUCGGCGGUUGGGGAUGGACUCGCGGCUUAUCAGCUUGUUGGUGGGGUAGUGGCUUACCAAGGCUUUGACGGGUAGCCGGCCUGAGAGGGUGACCGGCCACAUUGGGACUGAGAUACGGCCCAGACUCCUACGGGAGGCAGCAGUGGGGAAUAUUGCACAAUGGGCGGAAGCCUGAUGCAGCAACGCCGCGUGCGGGAUGACGGCCUUCGGGUUGUAAACCGCUUUCGCCUGUGACGAAGCGUGAGUGACGGUAAUGGGUAAAGAAGCACCGGCUAACUACGUG